CGCGUAGGCGGUCUUAUAAGUCAGAUGUGAAAGCCCGGGGCUCAACCCCGGAAGUGCAUCUGAAACUAUAGGACUUGAGUAUGGGAGAGGGAAGUGGAAUUCCUGGUGUAGCGGUGAAAUGCGUAGAUAUCAGGAGGAACACCGGUGGCGAAGGCGACUUCCUGGACCAAUACUGACGCUGAGGCGCGAAGGCGUGGGGAGCAAACAGGAUUAGAUACCCUGGUAGUCC
rnacentral:rRNA from 1 species